rnacentral:lncRNA from 1 species
AUUAAAACAAGACUGCAGGAGGAAGGGCAUACUAAGACGGAAAGCUCCAAGUCCUCCACUCAUCUCUGGCAAAGCCAGGUCCACAGGAUGAAUGGAAGAGGCUGCCUCCAGUUUGCUAGUUUCCCUUACCCAGUGGCUCCCAGAAGAUACACAGUCUGGGUGGAGACUCUGGCUAAAGGGGCAUAGGAACACAGCCAUAAGAAAAUGUCAGGAGACAUCACAAAAGGAUGGCCAACCCUGUCCGCUUAUUUUCCCACUGGUCUAUUUCUGGGCAUUUUUGCAGACUCUGCAGUUGAAUAAAAUGCUGAAGUCUGAUGGCCGAUUUGUUGAUACAUGCAACAGAUACGAGGUAAGUGAGCCUUCAGUUCUUCAAAUUCAUAAAUUUCUACUACAUCAGAGGAGACAAUGAAUCAGAUGAUACUAUCUUUCAGGGCAGAGCCACAUGAUUCCUCUGUAUACCCAAGGUUGAGUGCUAACAUACAGCAGGGGCACGUUAAAUAUCUAUAGAUUGGCAAAAAGAGAUUUGAACCCCUUUUCCUGACAUUAGAUUAUUAUUGAGUAUAACACAAAAGCUGUUAAUUAUAGGGCCUCCAAAAACCAUGCUUUGAUAAGGUUCAGAACAAUCUCUGAGAGGCUGUUGGAAGGAUAAAAGCAGGCUCUAGGACCUCCCACAAAUGGAGGAGCUGCACUGUUUUUUUCUGUUCUAUAUGCUGAGAUUCUGUUCUUCUAUUAAACAAGAUUGAAAACUGCUGCUGUAGACAAACAUAGCCCAGACUAUGGCUUAAAUAUAUAGAGAAGUGUCAAAGGGAAAAACUAAAAAAAGAUAGCCAGUAAGUUCCAAAUAUUGUAUUUUAAAGGCUGGUGCAAUGCUACCAUGGAAUCACCAGUGGUGGGAUAGGCACAGAUACAGGAUGAAAAUAGAGAAACUAAGGGAUUAGGCUGGGUGGAUGGAAAAAAGAAAUGUCUGCAAGUUCCAAACCUUCCACUUCUCUUGGGCAGAGCAGAGGUCCACAGGACAAAUUUUGCAAGAGGCUGCCUCCAAGUGAUCUUUGGAGUAGUCACUUUGUAAAAACUUUAAAGGAAAAUUCACUCUGAAAUGAGGUAUGUCUGAAGAGAACAAAUUACAAAAUGGAAUGUAUCAAGAUAUCAUGAAGGAUUUUACCCUCUAAUUUCAUGUACCAUCUUAAUUUCCCUAUAUGAGGAUAUAUAUCCUCUAAUGUGGCUCUGUCUUUACACCUUAGAACCAGUUCCUCAUCUCCAAUCAAAGCUCCACUCAACCCACAAGACUUAACUCAUGUUGGCUAAGAUAUUGAUGUUAUGGCUACACAGGUCCCUCCGCUCUCCAAUCAUCCGACAUAGGGCUGCUUGUGCCUGAAUCCAAGGGCAAUUGUGUGUGACCACUGCCCUUUAAACCUCACCAUACAUAUCUCAACACUUGUUCCUGAGCAUGCUUGCAUGAGACAGGAUGUUGCUGAGGUCAAAGUGUCCAAAAUAUGAGGCAGAACCUAAAGGAGGAUAUGAAAAAUUCAUCUGUGGACACACUCACCGGAAUCCCAUUGAUGCCAAGAAAGCCAGGAACUCCCAUGGGACCCUAAAAAAAGGAGUAGGGAGAGGAAUGUAAGACACAAUCCAACUGAUGUUUGUUAGACUCAGUAGGUUUAUGAGAGUCAAUGGCCUACAUUUUUAAGAAGUGUUUCGUACCCCCCUCCCCAUAUUGUAUUCCCUUGAUUCCUACUGCAGUUCGAAGUGACCAUUUACCUCUACCUAAGGCCUUAGACAGGUCUUUGUUCCGAAACCAGCUCUUUUUUUUAAGGGAGUAUAGUCGAGGUUUUAAAAUUAAGGCUUACUAUUACCUGCUGCCAUCUGGGGAAAACUGGAGAACCUUGAAUGACCUAAUCACAAGUUUCCCUCUCCAUUAUGCUUCUACAGAUAAGGUCCCCUAGCCGAACAACUCUCCUUAUCAAAUGGACCAGGUGCAAUUCCUGCUUAUCCUGGAAUAGCAGUUUCAAUUUCUUGCUGGCCUACUGGACUAUUCAAACAAGCCAAUUGCAUCCACCUUCAGGAACCAGGGGCACCCUGCCCUACUGAUACUACAAAGUCUGCUUUGCACAGCCUUUUCUUCUAAACUCUGUUCCCAAGUGCUAUCCCUAUGUGGCCCUAUGUGGUGUGUGGUAUCUUCCUCCCCUGAGCUGUGAGUAUAUGUGACUAAUAAAUUGCUGUCAACUUC